rnacentral:tmRNA from 1 species
ACACUUCAAAUAAGGAAAUUUGGCCCUAUAUUAAGGGUGCCGGCGGAUUUCCGUCCGGCUAUGGCGAUAAACGGACUGUGCAAUAAGCCAUUCGGACCCGGGGGCAGUACCCGGCGCCUCCACCAUUUUUCCCCUGUCGCGGCAGGGACCUUGGGGGCGAACCAGGAUCGACGAGGGUGUAAAGACAGUCUUUUUGCCCGGCAUGGUACCCACCGUUAUCGGGCCGUUUUAUAGUUGCCAACGACAACUAUGCUGAGGCACGUCUCGCUGCGUAAGCAGUGCGACAACCUCGAUCUAAGCCCUUGCCCUUAGCCGGGUAAGGCGGGGUUCGGGGGCACCUGGCAACAGAAGCCCCCACU